GCAGCAGCAAUGAUCAAGUUACAUGCAGCAACUGGAACAUCUGCAACUCUCUUUUUUCCUCUCAGGAUGCUGAAGUAAGUAAACUACUUGGAACUUAUCUAGAUAUAUAGCUGCUUACUGUAAUGUAGAAGUGUACCA